CUGGCAGGUGUCAUCUAACCUUGACCUCAUUUUCAUGGUUCAGUGGUUAUAGUUAAGUUUUUGUGUUUUGGUCUGUUUUUUCUUAUUCUAUAUGCAAUAUGUCUACUAUAAUUGGUGUAUGGAAUGAUUGUAAGGUGUACAUGUCUAGCUGACAGGUGUCAUCUGACCUUGACCUCAUUUUCAUGGUUCAGUGGUCAAAGUUAAGUUUUUUAGUUAUGGUCUAUUUUUCUAAUACUUUAUGCAUUAGGUCAACUAUAUUUGGUGUAUGGAAAUAUUUUAUGAUCUAUAUGUCAGUUACGCAGAUUUUAUUUGACCUUGACCUCAUUUUCAAGGUCCAUUGCUAAGU
rnacentral:lncRNA from 1 species